rnacentral:lncRNA from 1 species
AAUUUAGCAGGAGAUAUAUAUAGCAAUUAGACGAGAAAUAUUAUAGUGUAUAGAGAGAGAGACAGUAAGCUACCGGUUUCAUUUAUUAUUUUUAAAAAAAUAAACUUAACUAAAAAUAUGAAGCCACUAAACUUCGAGCUUGGAGCCUCAGAUAUGAAUUACGAAGCUAUUUACCAUUUGCGUGAGGACAACGCGUGAAUGUUAUAAAUAUUAAUAUGCAUC